rnacentral:piRNA from 1 species
UGAACUUGGCAAAGUAGGAGGACAG